GACGAACGCUGGCGGCGUGCUUAACACAUGCAAGUCGAACGGAAAGGCCCUGCUUGCAGUGUACUCGAGUGGCGAACGGGUGAGUAACACGUGGGUGAUCUGCCCUGCACUUCGGGUUAAGCCUGGGAGACUGGGCCGAAUACCGGCUAGGAGCCAUUUUUAGUGUGAUGGUUGGAAAGUUUUUUCGGUGUAGGGUGAGCUGGCGGCCUAUCAGCUUGUUGGUGGGGUAAUGGCCUACCGAGGCGGCUACGGGUAGCCGGCCUGAGUGGGUGGACGGCCACCUUGGGACUGAGGUGAGGCCCAGACUGCUACGGGAGGGAGCAGUGGGGAAGAUUGAAGGAGGGGCGCAAGCCUGAUGCAGCGGCGCCGCGUGGCGGAUGACGGCCUUCGGGUUGUAAACUCCUUGCGCUAGGGACGAAGCUUUUUGUGACGGUACCUAGAUAAGAAGCACCGGCUAACUACGUG
rnacentral:rRNA from 1 species